GAUGAACGCUGGCGGCGUGCCUAAUACAUGCAAGUCGAGCGAACAGACUAGGAGCUUGCUCCUCUCUCGCUAGCGGCGCACGGGUGAUUAACACGUGGAUAACCUACCUAUAAGACUGGGAUAACUUCGAGAAACGUGAGCUAAUACCGGAUAAUAUAUUGAACCGCAUGGUUCUAUAGUGAUAGACGGUGUUCCUGUCACGUAUAGAUGGAUCCCGGCAGCAUUAUCUAGUUGGUAAGUGAACGGCUUACCAUGGCGACGAUGCCUAGCCGACCUGAGAGGGUGAACGGCCCCUCUGGAGCUGAGAGACGGUCCAGCCUCAUACGGGAGGCAGGGGUAGGAACUCUUACGCAAUGGGCGAAAGUCUGAAGGAGCAACGGCGCGUGAGUGAUGGAGGUCUUCGGAUCGUAAAACUCUGUUAUUCGGGCAGACCAAAUGUGCCAGUAACUAUGCCAGUCUUGACGGUACCUAGUAAGAAGGCCACGGUGAACUACUU
rnacentral:rRNA from 1 species